rnacentral:rRNA from 1 species
GACGAACGCUGGCGGCGUGCUUAACACAUGCAAGUCGAACGGAAAGGCCCUGCUUUUGUGGGGUGCUCGAGUGGCGAACGGGUGAGUAACACGUGAGUAACCUGCCCUUGACUUUGGGAUAACUUCAGGAAACUGGGGCUAAUACCGGAUAGGAGCUCCUGCUGCAUGGUGGGGGUUGGAAAGUUUCGGCGGUUGGGGAUGGACUCGCGGCCUAUCCGCUUGUUGGUGGGGUAGUGGCUUACCCAGGCUUCGCCGGGCAGCCGGCCUGAGAGGGUGACCGGCCACAUUGGGACUGAGAGACGGCCCAGACUCCUACGGGAGGCAGCAGUGGGGAAUAUUGCACAAUGGGCGGAAGCCUGAGGCAGCAACGCCGCGUGCGGGAUGACGGCCUGCGGGUUGUAAACCGCUUUCGCCUGUGACGAAGCGUGAGUGACGGUAAUGGGUAAAGAAGCACCGGCUAACUACGUG